rnacentral:tRNA from 1 species
GGGAGUAUAGCUCAAUUGGUUGAGCAUUCGUUUUGCAAACGAAAGGUUAUUGGUUCGACCCCGAUUAUUUCCA